CGGCGUGCUUAACACAUGCAAGUCGAACGGAAAGGCCCUGCUUUUGUGGGGUGCUCGAGUGGCGAACGGGUGAGUAACACGUGAGUAACCUGCCCUUGACUUUGGGAUAACUUCAGGAAACUGGGGCUAAUACCGGAUAGGAGCUCCUGCUGCAUGGUGGGGGUUGGAAAGUUUCGGCGGUUGGGGAUGGACUCGCGGCUUAUCAGCUUGUUGGUGGGGUAGUGGCUUACCAAGGCUUUGACGGGUAGCCGGCCUGAGAGGGUGACCGGCCACAUUGGGACUGAGAUACGGCCCAGACUCCUACGGGAGG
rnacentral:rRNA from 1 species